UACGUAGGGUGCAAGCGUUGUCCGGAAUUAUUGGGCGUAAAGAGCUCGUAGGUGGUUUGUCGCGUCGCCUGUGAAAACCUGGGGCUCAACCCCGGGCCUGCAGACGAUACGGGCAGACUAGAAUUCGGUAGGGGAGACUGGAAUUCCUGGUGUAGCGGUGAAAUGCGCAGAUAUCAGGAGGAACACCGGUGGCGAAGGCGGGUCUCUGGACAUUUCCUGACGCUGAGGCACGAAAGCCAGGGGAGCAAACGGG
rnacentral:rRNA from 1 species